rnacentral:tRNA from 1 species
GCCUUCGUGGUGUAAUGGUCAAGCACCCUCGACGCGUAAUCGAGAGGUCCGUGGUUCGAAUUCCGGCGAAGGUG